rnacentral:rRNA from 1 species
AACCAGCACCUCAAGUGGUCAGGAUGAUUAUUGGGCCUAAAGCAUCCGUAGCCUGUUCUGUAAGUUUUCGGUUAAAUCUAUACGCUCAACGUAUAGGCUGUCGAAAAUACUGCAGAACUAGGGAGUGGGAGAGGUAGACGGUACUCGGUAGGAAGGGGUAAAAUCCUUUGAUCUAUCGAUGACCACCUGUGGCGAAGGCGGUCUACCAGAACACGUUCGACGGUGAGGGAUGAAAGCUGGGGGAGCAAACCGGAUUAGAUACCCGGGUAGUCCCAGCUGUAAACGAUGCAAACUCGAUGAUGCGUUGGCUUAUUGCUAGCGCAGUGUCGCAGGGAAGCCGUUAAGUUUGCCGCCUGGGAAGUACGUACGCAAGUAUGAAACUUAA